GCCUGGGUGGCUCAGUCGGUUAAGCAUCUGACUUCAGCUCAGGUCACGAUCUCGCGGUCCGUGGGUUCGAGCCCCACGUCGGGCU
rnacentral:tRNA from 1 species